GAUGAACGCUGACAGAAUGCUUAACACAUGCAAGUCAACUUGAAUUUGGGUUUUUAACUUAGAUUUGGGUGGCGGACGGGUGAGUAACGCGUAAAGAACUUGCCUCACAGCUAGGGACAACAUUUAGAAAUGAAUGCUAAUACCUAAUAUUAUGAUAAUAGGGCAUCCUAUAAUUAUGAAAGCUAUAUGCGCUGUGAGAGAGCUUUGCGUCCCAUUAGCUAGUUGGAGAGGUAACGGCUCACCAAGGCGAUGAUGGGUAGCCGGCCUGAGAGGGUGAUCGGCCACAAGGGGACUGAGACACGGCCCUUACUCCUACGGGAGGCAGCAGUGGGGAAUAUUGCACAAUGGGGGAAACCCUGAUGCAGCGACGCCGCGUGAACGAAGAAGGUAUUCGUAUCGUAAAGUUCUGUCCUAUGGGAAGAUAAUGACAGUACCAUAGAAGAAAGCUCCGGCUAAAUACGUGCCAGCAGCCGCGGUAAUACGUAUGGAGCGAGCGUUGUCCGGAAUUAUUGGGCGUAAAGGGUACGCAGGCGGUUUAAUAAGUCGAAUGUUAAAGAUCGGGGCUCAACCCCGUAAAGCAUUGGAAACUGAUAAACUUGAGUAGUGGAGAGGAAAGUGGAAUUCCUAGUGUAGUGGUGAAAUACGUAGAUAUUAGGAGGAAUACCAGUAGCGAAGGCGACUUUCUGGACUUUUACUGACGCUCAGGUACGAAAGCGUGGGGAGCAAACAGG
rnacentral:rRNA from 1 species